rnacentral:lncRNA from 1 species
ACAGUGCAAAAUGUCCUCUUAGUCACAAAAGAGCCGUGUUGGCUCCUUAUAAAAAUAUGGGGUGGCAGCACACCCAGUCCGUCUGUAGAAGUGGAAUAGCUGGGCCAAGGCUGUCUCAUAUAACAACUUCUGUUUCCAGAAGGAAGUAUCACCAAGACAGAAAUGAUAAGACCCCCAACCUCUGGGGGUACAACUUGAGACUGGGCUGGGGGACCCCUACAAUCUACAUCAUUUGGACAAAAGAAACCCAGGCCAACAGGACAGUCCAAUUGAGUUGAGAAUCUGAGAAUCCCUUCGUAGAUAAUCUUGUGGACAGGCCACUGGACACCUGAAAGUAGUGAUAACCUUAACUCUGGGUCCCUUUACUCUUUUUAACCCAGCUGGCUGCACCCACUCCGUAUACAGCCAAGGAUGACUGGGAACUAUUGAUGCUUUUGUCUCCGCCUCCCAAGUGCUGGAAUUCUGAGGGGUUUCCAUUGAGCCCGGUCUUCCUCCCUCUUGUCCUUGCCUCUGAAUGACAACAUGAGCCCUGGAGUUCCUGCAGAAUCUGAAAUGAGGGCUCCAGGAGUGAUCCCAGCCGUGCAUUUUCCCAAGCCGCUUUGCACCCGAUGGCUACUGCCCAGGCCAAUUGGAGGACUCUGGCGGAAUCGCAUCAGGGUAACCACAAGAAUCAUUCCCGGAGUCUGAGGACCGACUGGAAGAGGUGUCACCUGCGUCCCUGCGAAAGCGACGGUCCCGCCUCCAAGACUACCCCGCAAGCCAUAGUUGCAGCGCGCAGGCUGAAGAUGCCCAGCCUUCCCCAGCGUCCUGCCUCGCGUUCUGCUCCGCCGCUCGCGCCGCGUCUCGGUGCACAGGCCCGGGGCCGCACACAGCGCCCCCGGUGGCUGCCGAGCCCAGCCUGAGCGGGGCGGCG